rnacentral:lncRNA from 1 species
AUGCCAGUAGGAUUAACGCCUGAUACAAAACUCGUUAAAUGUAAAAAUACCCCGUUUCCCGAGAGGGUGCUCGCUGCAGAACCACAAAGGCGGAGCUGCACCAUAAGGUGGAGCUGCACCAGGGUGGUUCUGCAGCGAGCACCACUUGCGUUUCCCAGCGCUACAAGCAUUGAUUCUGCUGCUGUUUUUCCACUUAAAGUGUCGUUAACUUUCACAUUAUCUCAAAGCCUCUUGAGGCACCAAAAGUUACUCACAAAGAUACAGUGGACUCACAUUCACCUCCAUACAACACCUGCAUGAGAUUUGAACUUGUAAAAUAUUUACAGCACGCUUUGUUUUUCUUCUAAUGAUUUUUUUAGAGCUCCAUACAGUCAUUCUUUUUUCAAUUAGCAGUCAUGUUUGAUCCAGCUGACGCCGUCGGUCGGUUGUAGUGAUCUUAUGGCGUGUCAGGACCAGAUUCAAUGAGUGAACUGAUUUGAUCUUACUUCACCUCAUGGCCCUCUAGACAGUCAAGUAAUAUUACAGUCAUCAGCAGAAAUAUGGACAGGAAGCCAUUGGCUCAUCUUGCAUAAAAUGUUUGUGAUUUUGCUCAAAAACUUUUUUUUAGAAAACCACGAAAAUUAUUUGGUUAAAUCACAAAAAAAUAAAUCAGUGAUGCAACAUAACUGAAUAUCCAAAGCAUGUGUGGUCCUAAACAAUAAAAUCACAAUGCAUGCACUUUUGCAUGGAUGAAUUAAAGAUGCAAACCCAUUUUAACUUAGAAAUCUUAAUCAAAUAAUCAUUUACUUUAUCUUCUUUUAGAAUAUUUAUGGAAAGAUAUUAUGUUGAAAGGAAAUAUUUGAAAAAAAAAAAACAACAUUACCGAAAACUAAGAAGGAAACGUGGGAGCUUCAUUUUAGUGCACUGCUUCUCCGCUCUGUAUUGUUUCAUCAUCCAGAUGGUAUCCAAAUCAAAUAUGGCACAGGUGAAGAUGAGCAAUUCACAACCCGAUUAAUCAGUAACCUCCUCCUCAAAGGACAACGACUGUUAUUGAAGAAUGUAAUGGGGUAAUGCCCUCGACAGCCAGAAAAUACAACGACUGUCAGUCUAACUUUACAUAAUCAGGUAUCAGCUGGAUCAGCAGUGCAAGUUAAAACUUAGAAAAUAUUCAACAAAAAGACAGAAUUAAAAAAAUAAUGAGCAUCACCCUAUUUACCCAACUUCACAUUUUCAUUGCACUGCAUAGGUGACUGCAUCGCUACCACAGAUGAGAUGUAUUUAUAUUUUAAUAAUGCCUCAUUUAAAUUUUACACCUUCUUUAAAUUUCUGUUUGUCUUCUUCAUGAGCUGCCACAUUUUAUAUGUGCUGUAGACCACUUCAUUA